UGUUUUGUGGCUUAGUUGGCUUAAGCGCCGGGCUAGCGAUACGGAAUCGUGGGUUCGCAUCCCAUCAAAACAA
rfam:Aedes albopictus isolate Foshan contig127285, whole genome shotgun sequence.